UACGGAGGGUGCAAGCGUUAUCCGGAUUCACUGGGUUUAAAGGGUGCGUAGGUGGGCAUGUAAGUCAGUGGUGAAAUCUCCGGGCUUAACCCGGAAACUGCCAUUGAUACUAUAUAUCUUGAAUGCUGUGGAGGUAAGCGGAAUAUGUCAUGUAGCGGUGAAAUGCUUAGAGAUGACAUAGGACACCUAUUGCGAAGGCAGCUGGCUACACAAAUAUUGACACUGAGGCACGAAAGCGUGGGGAUCAAACAGG
rnacentral:rRNA from 1 species